rnacentral:rRNA from 1 species
AACUCGACUCCAUGAAGUCGGAAUCGCUAGUAAUCGUGGAUCAGAAUGCCACGGUGAAUACGUUCCCGGGCCUUGUACACACCGCCCGUCACACCAUGGGAGUGGGUUGCAAAAGAAGUAGGUAGCUUAACCUUCGGGAGGGCGCUUACCACUUUGUGAUUCAUGACUGGGGUGAAGUCGUAACAAGGUAACCGUAGGGGAACCUGCGGUUGGAUCACCUCCUUACCUUAAAGAAGC